UCAAUUGUCAACUUUCUUGCUGCUACAUAUAUACAACUUGCAAUCUGCUCUUUCAGACAAGGACCCCAUUUGGAUGUUUACACCACUGUAUUUUAUACGAAAACAAACACAUUGUAUUUUUGUACUCUUAUCUCUUUGAAAUUUGUUGUUGGUUUUAGUCUGUAGAGUCUACACCGGUAGAAGACGGUAGAAAUGAAAACCUACAAAGUCUGCUCUCUGAGACGCCAUUUUGGACAGAAUACAAUUUUCAUCACAUUUUGGUCACUUUAGCUGCUCCUUAAUGUGGAUAUUACAACUUCCAAAGUCGGUGUAUCAACUUCCUGGAGACCAGGGAUGAACCCAAGGGAUUCAGAGCUUCCAAUAUUGAAUUAUCAACCUCCCAAAGACCAGAGAUGAACCUAAGGGAUUCAGAGCAUGGAGCUGACACCAAGAGAGCUUUCUGGAGAGGAGGCGGAUUGGUACGAGCUCCUGAUGCCGCUGCUCGAACCCAUGGUGGAGAUGGGCGUCCUGGACAACGAUUUACCACCGCCUCCACUGGUUGACCCAGACGACCUACCCAUGUUAACAAUGUUAACAGAAAAUGAUAUAGGUUACCUGGGUGACCAGUUAACUUACUCCAGUUGCAUGCAACCAUCUUACCUCGACAUGAACCCACUAGGUGAUGUUACCAAGCAGUACAUGAACCAUCAGUACCCGGUCUCUGAGUGGCCUGUCCAUCACCUGCAUGCUCCCACACCACCGAUAAGAACUUUCACACACACACUUACUUGAUACUCUGCAAAUAAUUGAGUAGAGGAUUUAAUUGGAGUGUUCAUUAAGAAGUACAUAGUAUAUCAGAUUUUAGUAUGUAUUACUUACAAAAAGCAAAUUAACUAGCAUAGAAAGUGUCUGACAAUAACAAAUAUAUUGUUAAGCAUGUUUCAUGGUGGAAAUUCAAGUUCACUAAGAUCAGUUUAUCCACAAAUAUGACCAGAAGUUCUCAGGUUGAAUGACACUAUUUUUAUUUUGGGUCUUUUCUUGCGAUCAAGUACGUCUCACCAAUGGACACAGUUUGAUUCCAUACAUGUUUUUGUGUCCUCAGCAGUGUCUUGAAGUACCCCCAAAGAUGCUAUAACUGUAACUCAUAAAGACAUUCCUGCCUCUACAAAGGACUCUACAUCAACGUUUUGAAAGAGGAAACGUGACGUCCUGGAGGGUGGAGAGAAGGCCUAUAUGGGAAAAAAACACAAAACAUCUUCAUGAUCUUCAGGAAGGAGGAAAUGUCCAAAGUCAAAGCUCAGCUCAAAUGGUUGGCGGAAUAAAACUACCAUCUUUUCAGAGGUUACCCUCAUUGAGGAGUGACAUGGACGACGUCACCAGCCUCCUCCAGACAGCAGCAUGUACAUCUCGGCUGCUGAGAAGGAUGAAUGAGAUGAUGUCAUAGGCCAGAAUGAAGAUCAAACCCUCCAAAUUUCAUAGCCUGUCACUCAGAAGGGGAGUCAGAAAAGACUACACCACCUUUGUCGUCGGAGAAGAGAAAAUCUCCCUCUUGUCGGAGCAACCCGUCAAAAGCUUGGGGAGGCAGUACACCGCCCAACUGUCUGACAAACAGAUGGCAAGGACCGUCAUGAAACAGCUCACGGACGGCCUGGCAAUGAUCGACCAGAGCCAAGGUCAGGUCUGGUGCUACCAGCACAUACUCUACAGGAGAGUGAUGUGGCCCCUAAAAAUUAGUGAGAUCCCGUCCUCCGUUGUAAGAUGGAUGGAAAAGCCAACGCAUUCAUCAGAAAAUGGCUGGGACUGCCAAGGUGCCUUUCUGAAACGAGCCUCUUUGGGACAAAUGUACUACAUCUUCUAUUGCAGUCCAUCAGGCUGGUGCUCGAGCUAAGGGAAUCCACUGACCAGUCAGUGAGAAACGCCAACACCAAGGUUCCCACUGGCUGAAGGUGGAACGCCCAAGCUGAGGUUGACCAAGCCAUCAGUAGGCUGCAACAUCGAGACAUCAUGGGCAGAGUCCAGGCAGGAAGAGCAGGGCUAGGAUGGGGAGAAGAGCCGCGGUUCUGGUCCAAGGCUAACCGCAAGGAGAUGAAGGAGAUGGUGGUGGCAGAGGUGUCGAGGAUAGAGGAAGAGCGCUACAAGAUCAAGGCUGUGUCGCAGUGCCGACAAGGACACUGGACAAUCUGGGAGGGAGUUCUCAACUGCAAGAUCAGUUGGUCUGACCUGUGGAAGAUCCCACAGGCAAGGAUCAGUUUCCUCAUACGUGCUACUUACGACACGCUUCCCUGUCAUCAUAACCUUCAUCAAUGGUUCGGGAAUGAGGAAACCUGCGCACUCUGCAAUGCUCCCAACGCAAGCCUCCAGCAUAUCUUGUCAGGCUGCAAGGUCGUACUCUCCCAGGGCGCUAUAGAUGGCAUCACGACAAUGUCCUGUAGAAACUGGCUGAGGUGCUGGAGUGGUGUCAACUGGACAGCUAAGAACCAGCAGAGAACCACACCAUCUUUGUCAUGGAAGGGGGUGGACAAAGACACACCAGGCCAAGAGAGACAUCGAGGCCCUUCUGCCCCGGCCAGGAGUGGGACAUGAGGGUUGAUCUCAACAAGCAGCUCCGGUUCCCCAUGGAGAUCACAGCUACAUCUCUCCGUCCUGACAUCGUGGUGUUGUCCAGCAGGGCAAGAGCGGUGCACCUCAUUGAACUGACAGUGCCAGCAGGAGAGGGGAUUGAAGCCGCCUUUAAGCGCAAGAAGGCCAAGUAUGCAGAGCUGGCUGCAGAGUGCCAGGAGCAUGGCUGGAAGGCUACCAUCUACCCAGUGGAGGUUGGCCGCCGUGGCUACGUGGGGCUGUCAGCCACACGCCUUUUGAGGGACGCAGGACUGACUGGAGGGAAGCUGAGGAAAGCCAUAAAAGAUUUGGCAGAGAAGGUUGAGAAAGGCAGCUUUUGGGUCUGGCUGAGGAGGAAGGACAGAAGCUGGGGAAAGAACAACAAACCCCGACAGCAGCCGCAGGGGGUAACAUCUAUCAGCUGCAGGGGGACGUCUCUGUCACUGUUCCGCCACCAGGAGAUGUUCUAGCGAUUAAAGGAGCGAAACGUUGAGGAAUGGUGGUUCCGAGCUGAUGACCCUGCAGCUGACCCGUGGGCACCAGAGGAGGUGCAACAUGCAGCAAUGCCAAGCAGGAAAGACCACCUACCUGUACAUCAACAGGAACAAUGCUGAGGCCAAUAAUGUCGUGGGUCACAUGUGGAGGUCGCUCUCAGCGUCGAAGCAGGAAAAUUAUUAUCAGCUUACCGACAUAGAAAACAGAAUCCACCGGGGGUUGUACCCAAACUGGUCCUACACAGACAACUAUAAGUAGCAGAGAAAGCUAGCCACUGGCUCUGGCUGAAACGACGCGACAAGGCUUGGGGAGCAACAUCCAAGUAGGUUUGCUGCAGGGGGUGUCAGGGAGACGUCCCUGUUCACUGCCUCGCCACCAGGAGAUGUUCUGGGCUAAGGGGCGAAACAUCAAUGAGAGGUGGUCCCCAGCUGAAGACCCUGCAGCAAAACCUUUUCUGGUAUGCGGCCAGGUUUAGGCCUGCCUCAGGGAAGAGGACGUCCCUGCUAUGCACAGUCCACCACAGGCACCGGUGGAGGGCAAAAGAAAGAGGAAGCAGAGAGCAACAGUCUCAACAAGGAUCAAGCAAAGUGUUUGUCACUGUGUGACAGAAUAAAAUGCAGACCUGUCAACAUGACUGUACUUUGCUGCUCCCUAGUAGACACCAGAGCAGGUGGGUGAGCAUGAGACGAGAAGGAAUGACACGGGAGGCUGCAGCCAACAGUCUCGGCACAGCAGAGGAGGAGGAGAUUGGUGGACAGCAUAUACUAGAAUCCCUACAAAAGUUUCUUGGGAGUUUGUUGGAUGAUUGGCCAGACUGAGAACAACAGAGCGUCAAACAAGCAAGGUGACGAAUCAACACAACAACUAAGGAAGCCAGAUGUGCUUGAAAAUGAAUCUUUGCACAGCUGCUAGUUCCCAGCUUUGUGACUGCACUGCUGCUGCUGCAACAUGUGCAACCUGAAGACCCAAGGCACAAUGCUGGGAGUUUGCUUUCCAAAAUAAAGUGGACCUUGCAUUAAACUAUAACAUUGUCACAUUUGGACAAGCAGACAUAAAAUAUGACUUUCAAAUAAGUCAUGCCUAGCAAUUACUGUUUUAUAUGUAACACAAAGAUAACAAUUAAACAUGUUGUGUGAAUGUGAGUGUGAAUGUUGUCUGUCUAUCUGUGUAGGCCCUUGGAUGAGGUGGCGACUUGUCCUGGGUGUACCCCGCCUCCAGCCCGAAUGCAGCUGAGAUAGGCUCCAGCACCCCCUCGUGACCCCAAGAGGGACAAGCAGUAGAAAAUGGAUGUAUGGAUGGAUGGUGUCUUUUAUUGACAAUUUCAUAAAAUACAUGAAAUGUUUUAUACUAUUGCAUAUACUGUUUAUAUCUAUGGCCUGUUACAGUUAACACUAUUGAUUUUAUUUUUUAAACAGUUUAUGUUUAACAGCCUCACUUUCAAUAAAUGCCUGUUGUGUGGAAAAGGUGAACAGAUUUUAGUCACACCUGGUUUUUUUUAACUGAGAAGGUGCAUACUACCACCAUGUGGAAAAUGAUCUAAAUUACAUUUGUUAACCAGUUGUCCACAGCAAAGGUUCUCAAACUGGAGUCAUGGAAGCCCCAGUAGUGUUAGGUUGGUGGUCUAAAUGUUUUUGCAAUAAA